rnacentral:sRNA from 2 species
AUGUACCCACGUACAUUCCGGUUCCUCCGCGCCGCCCGCACCCACCUGACGGCUGCUCGCUACGUUUUGUUAGCC